rnacentral:rRNA from 1 species
CACUCCUACGGGAGGCAGCAGUGGGGAAUAUUGGACAAUGGGCGCAAGCCUGAUCCAGCCAUGCCGCGUGAGUGAUGAAGGCCCUAGGGUUGUAAAGCUCUUUCACCGGUGAAGAUAAUGACGGUAACCGGAGAAGAAGCCCCGGCUAACUUCGUGCCAGCAGCCGCGGUAAUACGAAGGGGGCUAGCGUUGUUCGGAUUUACUGGGCGUAAAGCGCACGUAGGCGGACUAUUAAGUCAGGGGUGAAAUCCCGGGGCUCAACCCCGGAACUGCCUUUGAUACUGGUAGUCUUGAGUUCGAGAGAGGUGAGUGGAAUUCCGAGUGUAGAGGUGAAAUUCGUAGAUAUUCGGAGGAACACCAGUGGCGAAGGCGGCUCACUGGCUCGAUACUGACGCUGAGGUGCGAAAGCGUGGGGAGCAAACAGGAUUAGAAACCCUAGUAGUCCC